UGUUACAGAAGAUAUCCUGACAGGCUUCAAGAUGCAUUGUAGAGGGUGGAGGUCUGUCUACUGUUCUCCCCAGAGACCAGCUUUUAAGGGAUCUGCUCCCAUUAAUCUAUCAGAUAGGUUGCACCAAGUUCUGCGAUGGGCACUAGGCUCUAUUGAGAUUUUCCUUAGUCAUCACUGUCCUCUAUGGUAUGGCUAUGGAGGAAAGUUGAAGUUGCUGGAGAGGCUUGCUUACAUCAACACCAUCGUUUACCCUUUCACCUCCAUUCCCUUACUUGCCUACUGUACUAUUCCAGCAGUCUGCCUUCUGACAGGAAAAUUUAUCAUCCCUACUGUAAGUGAUACUGAAUUGUAUUGCAGAGAUUAACACAUUGAAAACAAUGUCAUUCCUCCAUCCACAGCUAUUCUUUUUUGUCUCUUCCAAUAGUAUUAAUUUUAACCAAAUUUAUUUUUUUU
rnacentral:lncRNA from 1 species